rnacentral:pre_miRNA from 1 species
AAUAAACCAAUUUUUCAUCUUUUACCUUUAAUUUUUGACUAUUCGUCUUAUUAAAAAAAUUUACGAUUGAUAUUUUUGUUUUUAUUAGAUGAUAAAUCAUGAAUAGUACUUUACGUAUGACUAAUUUUUUUUUAAUUUCUUGAAAAUUUUUCAAAUAAGACGGAUGGUCAAACGUUGGACACGGAAACCGAAGAAUUCAUUUUUU